UACGAAGGGGGCUAGCGUUGUUCGGAAUCACUGGGCGUAAAGGGCGCGUAGGCGGCCAUAUAAGUCGGGGGUGAAAGCCUGUGGCUCAACCACAGAAUUGCCUUCGAUACUGUAUGGCUCGAGACCGGAAGAGGUAAGUGGAACUGCGAGUGUAGAGGUGAAAUUCGUAGAUAUUCGCAAGAACACCAGUGGCGAAGGCGACUUACUGGUCCGGUUCUGACGCUGAGGCGCGAAAGCGUGGGGAGCAAACAGG
rnacentral:rRNA from 1 species